CUCAAAUCAGGUAGGACUACCCGCUGAACUUAAGCAUAUCAAUAA
rnacentral:rRNA from 1 species